AACCUGCGGAGGGAUCAUUACCGAGUUUACAACUCCCAAACCCCCUGUGAACAUACCUUUAUGUUGCCUCGGCGGAUCAGUCUGUCCCUCGGGACGGCCCGCCGCAGGACCCUAAACUCUGUUUUUAGUGGAACUUCUGAGUAAAAAAACAAAUAAAUCAAAACUUUCAACAACGGAUCUCUUGGUUCUGGCAUCGAUGAAGAACGCAGCAAAAUGCGAUAAGUAAUGUGAAUUGCAGAAUUCACGCUGAAUCAUCGAAUCUUUGAACGCACAUUGCGCCCGCCUAGUAUUCUGGCGGGCAUGCCUGUUCGAGCGUCAUUUCAACCCUCAAGCCCAGCUUGGUGUUGGGAGCUGUCGUCAAGACACUCCCCAAAUUGAUUGGCGGUCACGUCGAGCUUCCAUAGCGUAGUAAUUUACACAUCGUUACUGGUAAUCGUCGCGGGCACGCCGUUAAACCCCCAACUUCUGAAUGUUGAACUCGGGAAUCCAGGUUAGGAAAUACCCGGGUUGAACUUAAUGCAUAUCAACUA
rnacentral:rRNA from 1 species